UACGAAGGGUGCAAGCGUUACUCGGAAUUACUGGGCGUAAAGCGUGCGUAGGCGGUUUGUUAAGUCUGUCGUGAAAGCCCCGGGCUCAACCUGGGAAUGGCGAUGGAAACUGGCGAGCUAGAGUACGGUAGAGGAGAGUGGAAUUCCCGGUGUAGCAGUGAAAUGCGUAGAGAUCGGGAGGAACACCAGAGGCGAAGGCGGCGACCUGGACAGGUACUGACACUCAACUACGAAAGCGUGGGGAGCAAACAGG
rnacentral:rRNA from 1 species